GUUUAGAUUUAAUAGUAGCGUAUAUCUCAGACUAUAAAACUGCUAAUUAGUACGAUUUUGUUAUCUGAAAGAGAAACAACGCAAUUGGGUUAAAUACUGUGAACAGUUAUACAUGGAAUUUUAUGUAUAUACGUAUGUUAGGGAAUAUUCGUUUUUGGAAGCAGUCAUAAAUGAUUUGGGAUAAUAAUUGUUGUCGAACGCC
rnacentral:lncRNA from 1 species